UACGGAGGGUGCAAGCGUUAUCCGGAUUCACUGGGUUUAAAGGGUGCGUAGGCGGGCAGGUAAGUCAGAGGUGAAAUCUCCGGGCUUAACCCGGAAACUGCCUUUGAUACUAUCUGUCUUGAAUAUGGUGGGGGUAAGCGGAAUAUGUCAUGUAGCGGUGAAAUGCUUAGAUAUGACAUAGAACACCCAUUGCGAAGGCAGCUUACUACGCCUAUAUUGACGCUGAGGCACGAAAGCGUGGGGAUCAAACAGG
rnacentral:rRNA from 1 species